rnacentral:rRNA from 1 species
UACAGAGGUCUCAAGCGUUGUUCGGAUUCAUUGGGCGUAAAGGGUGUGUAGGUGGCGCCGUAAGUCGGGUGUGAAAUUUCGGAGCUUAACUCCGAAACUGCAUUCGAUACUGUGGUGCUUGAGGACUGGAGAGGAGACUGGAAUUCAUGGUGUAGCAGUGAAAUGCGUAGAGAUCAUGAGGAAGACCAGUGGCGAAGGCGGGUCUCUGGACAGUUCCUGACACUGAGACACGAAGGCCAGGGGAGCAAACGGG